rnacentral:rRNA from 1 species
UACAGAGGGUGCGAGCGUUGUCCGGAAUCACUGGGCGUAAAGAGCUCGUAGGCGGUCUGUCGCGUCUGCUGUGAAAACUCGGGGCUUAACCCCGGGCCUGCAGUGGGUACGGGCAGACUAGAGGUAUUCAGGGGAGAACGGAAUUCCUGGUGUAGCGGUGAAAUGCGCAGAUAUCAGGAGGAACACCGGUGGCGAAGGCGGUUCUCUGGGAAUAUCCUGACGCUGAGGAGCGAAAGUGUGGGGAGCGAACAGG